ACGAGCCGAUAUGAUGAAAUACUGUAUGGAUUUGUUUGUAUACCAGAUGGUCAUAUUUUGAACUUAGCCGCAGCAAGGCCACGCACAGAUAUUGCGAAGACUUCAAAAAAUCCCACGGUCUAAAUUUAGAAACAAGAAUCCACACUAUAAGAGACGGGCUGGCAGCCGCAUCACAGUUAGGUCUUGUGAGAAAGUGGGAAAGAGACGGGCUCCAUUGAGUGUGUUGCUUGCUUAACUUGCAGAACGUGAAAUCAACUUACAACACUUCUUGCCACUUCGAGAAAGCUGCUGAACCGUGCUUUUCAGGUCUUCUUUCUGCGAAACAAUUGACGUAAACAAAACAAAAUGGUUCUCGGAUAUCUCAUUGGUGGAGCUUUGGCCGUUGGAGGCGCUGUUGUCGCAGCUCCUCUGGUUGGGUUCACAGCCACAGGGAUUGCAGCGGGGUCUAUUGCAUCCAGUGCGAUGUCAGCUGUAGCAGUUGCCAGCGGUGGGGGCGUCGCAAACAUGGCUGCUGGUGGAGUGGUGGCCGCUUGUCAGUCGAUAGGAGCGGCCGGACUGACGGUGAAGAGUGCGGCGGCCCUUGGUGCCGCAGGUGGCGCAGUUGGGGAAGCCGUGGCCAACAUGCUGCCGUGAAUACGCAAUCUACUACCAAUACGUCUAUGUUACUUAAGCUGCACUGUAGAACUCUCGCUUGAACUUUGAGACUUUGAGCAGCCAAAUAAACUGGUUGUCACCUCAUUCAUGCUUAAUAUCUUCAUUAAAUUUAUCAAGGCCUACUCAUUUAUUCAACAAACUGUUAUUUAUGUACAAUAGAUUUCACAUGUAUGUAAAUAAAACAAAAACGAACACCCCAACCAUGGAACAAUAAAUAUAUAGUAAAUUGCACCAUGCCCCCAACUAAACCAGUCCACGGCGACUCACAAUACAGUGCGCCCUCUAACCCUACUCGAGGAUCGGAGGACGAGUUCCCUGCAGCUAGUGGUGUACAA